rnacentral:lncRNA from 1 species
UCACACUUACAAUUAUACAGCUUUCAAGCUUAAAUACAACCCAACGAAAAAGGGGGUACAAUAGCCAACCGUUAUAAUAUAACUUAAAAUCUUCAAAAGAAAGCAAUCUAGUACUACUCACGAGCACCCUUGGUCUCGAAUCCUGUAAAAGAAAACCACAACGUGGGAUGAGCUACACAGCCUAGUGAGGUUCCAAGACACUCUAACAAUUCAAAUAAAGCAGAUAGAUUGGGCAUAUCAUAUGCAUGGAUCAAGGUUACACAAUGGCAUGUUAUCAUGAGGUGAUAAUCAUUGUACCGGUAAUUUGAGACAUUAUCAUGGUAUGAGACAUUUAUCAUGAGACAGUUAUUAUGGUUCAAGACAUUGGCAUGUAUAGUUCACGAGUGAUUGGAGCUUAUUACAGGCAUAGCUCAGGAUUUCAUAUUGGCAUUUUAGCAUGAAACAAUUAUCAUGAUACCAGGUAAACAUAUACUGUAGGAUACGGUGUUCCAGUGGAACUCUGUCGGUCAUCUGCACCUUAUGACUUCCGGAUCCCCACGGUACGGUCUGGCCAUCGCCUUAUCCCUCCAGUGGUAAUACUCGAGUAUACCGAAACGGUGGCCGCAGGGUUCCAACCUACCCGACUGAGCCCAGUCCUGGCUCGAGUAGGUCAGUAACCAAGGGCAGGGCCCAAGUUCAGCUUAGAGCUUACAACAUGCACAGGUAACCAAGUAAUUCGACAAAAGGUAAAAUUCAUCAUUUGAGUAGGUCGAGUGAGGUAAAGUACACACUCGCCUAAUAAUGAUGGACAGCUUCAUAUAACAUGUGAUUCAUGAUAAUCAAGUAAUCAAGUAGAUACUUAGCACGUAAGCACGUAAGCAAUACAAGUUGAUUUCAUGGGAGCAUGUAAUUCAAGGAUAUCGAAUAGUCAUGUAGAUUGGAAAUCAUGUGAGCAAAUAGUCAAGUAAUCAAGUAGUCAUGUGGUUGGUAAACGGUUCACGGUUAACGGUUCACGGUUGACGGUUAACGGUUAACGGUUAAGUAGUGACGGUUAAUUGACAGGCAUUUGUCAUAUGAAUAGGCCAUCAUUGGCCGUUAUCCCAUUUUUACCAUGUGAGAGUCGAGGAGAUUCACUCCAACGACGUAUGCAACCUUACCAUACCAAGUCAUGUUAUUCGAGCAUUUCCAAGCAUGAGUUAUUCAUCUCAAAAGAGAACGAGUGCGAUAAAGUACACACUCGACUCCAUUUCUCAAAAUCAAGUAGGCUAGGUAAAUAAUCUAGCAAGUUAAGCAUGUAUCGAGUUCAUAUGGUCAUUUGAUAUGGUUAAUCAUUUAACCAAUUCAUGUAGAUAUACAAUGCAAGUAUACAUUCCUUAAAUAGGCAUGAGUAUGGUAAAUACUUAACACAUAGCACUUAACACUUAAUAAUCAUGAAAUAAGCGUGUCCUAGACUUAUUCAAUUACGUAUUCCUAUAUGGAACACUCACCUAGUCAAAACAAGCGAGUAAUUUUCAAACAAGCAAUUAGGUGUCCGCUCCGAGUUCCUCUUGGAGAUUCCCUCGAGUGCCUGAGUAAACAAUAAUCAAGUACCACUCAAUAUCACUACGAAUCUCUAAUUAUCGAGAAAGAUUGUACACUAGUACAAUCUAAGAAAUUAACGCGGAGAUGAGUCUAAGAGUUCGUGUAACUCGAGGUUCAAAAGUGGGGUCUUAAAUCACAAGACAAAUCUGAUUUCUAUCUCUAAAAUCAAAUGUAAAAUGAUCAAAUGAUAUUGAAGGAAAAUGGAGAGUUUGAAACCCUUAGUUUCCUUUAAGUUAGAAAAUUUCAGAUUUAAUAAGCAAUCUUUGAAAAAUCAUAUCUCACUCUCUACAAGUCCAAAAUUGGAAAAAUUGAUACUGUUGGAAACCCCUUUGAAAGUACUAAAAGUUCUUAGAAGACACUUUUCCAUGAUUCUAAAUGAAAGAUAUUCAAAAAUUGGCUCAAAGUUAUUGCUUUAGAAUACCAAGACAGUUUCAAGAUUGGUUUUUGGGCAACUUUGAAAAUUCGGUAACAUUCACACGUUGUAAAUCAGCCUCCGAAAUUUGUAACUCAAUUAGAGUUACAAUCAACGUUUAAAACAAAACAAGCGGAACAAGAAUCAAAGUUUUGAGCGCCAAGAUAUAGCAGCUCAAAGUUGCUGAAAAAAUUAAGACUAUUAGACUAUUUUUCAGGUUUGAAAAUUAGAUUCGAAGUAUCAUUUGGUCAUCGAAUUGGAAGUGGAAAUACAUCAAACUCGGUACACUAAAUCUUCCAUGUGUGAACAACAUUUCUACCAAGUUUCAUACAUAAACUCUCAUGGUAAGGCAGUCAUUAAAACAACCAAAGUUUAUGAAGAGUUGCAAGGCUAAACUACCUUCUCACUUUUCUUUUGUUUACAAACUUUUUGUACCAUGAAAUCAGUUCCAAAUCUCUCCAUUAUUGAAACCAAGAGUUCAUAACAUCCACUGAGCAAUUUAAAGACCAUUGACAUCCAAAUUUUCAAAAUAAAACUCCCCAAAUUAGAUUUGACCAUUUGGCUAAGAGAAAACGAAAAGUUUUCCAGAUUCGAUGAGCGAAUUUUGUGACAUCAUUUGCAUAUCAAAAUGGUAUUAGAAUAUUACCAAAUUUCGUACAAUUAAACCUCCAUAUGAGGAUUACUCUUCUAUCAAAUUUCAUUUAAAAAUUCACAUGAGAAGGUAGUUAACUAAACCAUCAAAGUUCAAGAAAUUUCCCCAAUGUAAACUGUCUUUUAGCUCUUCUUUCCCUUUUUAAACAUUUUGUCCAAAGCAACCAAUCCAAAUCUGGUUUAUUUGUGAAACAAAGUCCAAGAAACAUCUAAUAUAAAGUUUGGUAGAUGUUGGACAUCAAAGUUUCCAAAACAACAAGUCCCAAAUCAUUGUUAGUUACAAAUCUGUCCAAGUGGAAAAUUCUAUCACUGUAGCAGUUUCAAACAUUGGCCACAACUCACUCAAUUCAACUUGGAAUUGAGCGUGAUUGAUGGCGUUGGAAAGCUCUCUCAUAAAGAUAAAUUUUAUCAGAAGAAACCAUUUUGAAAUUCUAUCCACAAACAGCUCGUUUUUGAGCAUCAAGAUACAAGUCCUGUCCUGUCUCCUGGAGAGAAACGAAACAGGGCAGUGAUUUUCAAACGAACGGUGUGGCUCACUCAAGUGGAACCAGAACGUGAAAUUGGUACCAAUGGAAAGCUGGAAUGUCUAGUUUCCAAUUCCGCAAACGGCACUUGAUUUUGACAUCGGAGUAAAGAGUUAUAGCCGAUACAAAAUGACUGCCUGGGCAAUACGGGAUUCAUUUUCCAGUUUUGCUAACUUUGGAAAUCAACUCAUUUGACCAACCAAAUCAUGUUAUUUUUCAAUGAAAUUUUGUACACACUCACAAUAACAUGUAAACAACAUAAUCAAGUCAUUAGAACCUCAAAAUUGUGCACAAAAUGGUCGGACAAGGCAGGGGCAAAAUAGGAAACUUUUGCUUCUUGCACCCAACGAAAUUUCUAUCAAUUACACACCAUUAAUCCAUCAUUUUAACCACUAGACCAACAAUAUAUCCACCAUCAAUCAUCAAAUCAGCAACAACCCAAGAGUGGGAGUUCAUAGAGCCCACUUUCACAUUUUAUACCAUAAACAAGACUACCCACAUGAUUAUAUAACCUUAUAUGUGCAAUAUAUCUUACAAAAACUAAGAUCUAUGGGUUGGAUGAUUUGCUACCUUCUUGGAUGACUAGAUCAGAAAUUUUGGUCACUCUUUGCUCCAGAAAACCGUGACUUUUCAGCUCCCUUUUGCAGCUCAAAAUACUCCUCAAGUGUUAUACUAAGUGUGGGUGAAAUUUGAAGUGAAUUAGAGAAGAUUUGGUGAAUAUUUGAUGGAGGAAUUUGAAGAACUCUUGAGCUGUUUUUCUUGCUUGUUGUUCGGCCAGAUGAGGGAGCAAGAGAGAGAGUGUGAUCAGAUUUCUAAG